rnacentral:rRNA from 1 species
UAGGGAAUAUUGGACAAUGGGGGCAACCCUGAUCCAGCAAUGCCGCGUGAGUGAUGAAGGCCUUAGGGUUGUAAAGCUCUAUUACGCGGGAUGAUAAUGACAGUACCGGGAGUAUAAGCUCCGGCUAACUCCGUGCGAGCAGCCGCGGUAAUACGCAGGGAGCUAGCGU